rnacentral:rRNA from 1 species
CUUGACUGUAUCUUGGAGUUGGGUUCGGGCUUUUCUUGCGCAGCCUAGGUGGGAGGCAUUGAAGAUUUCCUUCCGGGGAAGUUGGAGCCAACAUUGAGAGACCACUCUGGAGAGGCUAGAAUCCUAAUGGUGAUCCUUGAAUCAGGACACUUGACAGUUUCAGGUGGGCAGUUUUUCUGGGGCGGAAGCCUCAUAAAAGGUAACUGAGGCGCGCAAAGGUCCCCUCAGUCUGGACGGAAAUCAGACAUUGAGUGUAAAGGCAAAAGGGGGGCUUGACUGCAAGACCUACAAGUCGAGCAGGAGCGAAAGCUGGCCUUAGUGAUCCGACGGUACCGCGUGGAAGGGCCGUCGCUCAACGAAUAAAAGUUA